AGGCUUUUCAGAGGGCUGGUCGAUUUUAGUCAAAUAAUCGUGGCUUAUCAAUCUUUAUUCGGUGACAUAACAAACCCUGCACCGAAUUUUUUGCCCAAGCACUAAACCCAAAAGGUUGCAAUUAUUCGUGACAAAUAAUUUAUGAUCGUGUCAUAAAAAUUACUUUAAUAAUAGUCGUACAUAGAUUCCGUUCCGGACAAGGUGGUGGGAAUUUUUUAGGUAUUAUUUGUAUUAUUGAAGUACGUUGUGAGCACAAAAAGCCAAUUGAUUAAAUAUUAGGAACAAAUAGGAA